rnacentral:rRNA from 1 species
AAUGAACGUUGGCGGCGUGGAUUAGGCAUGCAAGUCGAGCGAGAACCCCGCAAGGGGGGACAGCGGCAAACGGGGUAGUAAUGUGUCGGAACGUGCCCAGAGGACGGGGAUAGCGGCGGGAAACUGCCGGUAAUACCCGAUGAUCUCGAGAGAGCAAAGGUGCGAUUCCGCCUUUGGAGCGGCCGACAUGGUAUUAGCUAGUUGGCGGGGUAACGGCCCACCAAGGCUUUGAUGCCUAGGGGAUGUGAGAGCAUGAUCCCCACCAUUGGGACUGGGACACUGCCCAGACACCUACGGGUGGCUGCAGUCGAGAAUCUUCGUCAAUGGGCGAAAGCCUGAACGAGCGACGCCGCGUGCGGGAUGAAGGCCCUUGGGUUGUAAACCGCUGUCGAGGGGGAUGAAGGCAUUCAGGUACUCCUGAAUGUUUGACAGAGCCCUGGAGGAAGCACGGGCUAAGUUCGUGCCAGCAGCCGCCGUAACAC